GACGAACGCUGGCGGCGUGCCUAAUACAUGCAAGUCGAACGCAUUUUCUUUCACCGUAGCUUGCUACACCGAAAGAAAAUGAGUGGCGAACGGGUGAGUAACACGUGGGUAACCUGCCCAUCAGCGGGGGAUAACACUUGGAAACAGGUGCUAAUACCGCAUAAUUCCAUUUACUGCAUGGUAGAUGGAUGAAAGGCGCUUUUGCGUCACUGAUGGAUGGACCCGCGGUGCAUUAGCUAGUUGGUGGGGUAACGGCCUACCAAGGCUGCGAUGCAUAGCCGACCUGAGAGGGUGAUCGGCCACACUGGGACUGAGACACGGCCCAGACUCCUACGGGAGGCAGCAGUAGGGAAUCUUCGGCAAUGGACGCAAGUCUGAACGAGCAACGCCGCGUGAGUGAAGAAGGGUUUCGGAUCGUAAAACUCUGUUGUUAGAAAAGAACAAGGAUGAGAGUGGAAAGUUCAUCCCUUGACGGUAUCUAACCAGAAAGCCACGGCUAACUACGUG
rnacentral:rRNA from 1 species